UCGUGGAUACCCUGGUGCUGGUGUUGAUGUGGUUCGUUUGCUACAAUGGGUUUCGACAUGCUACCGAAUUCUCCAAAAGGAAUUUUUGGUGAUUCAACAAAGCAAGCUGCCAUGAUGUCUAUCUUAAUCUUGAUGGAUUGGAUACUUUGUAUAGAAUCUGUGGCAUGGCAUCUUGGUUUAGAGUUGGAGGUGGCGGAUCUUGAUUCUUGAGAGUAAAAAUUGUGGCAAAAAAUUGGCCUUAAGAAUUGUUUAUUUUAUGGUCACAAAAAUGGUUCAAUUUGUUUUAUUAUGCUUUUAAGAAUGGACGACCCAAUAAACAUAUAUCAUCAAUAUCAUUAACAAGUAUUGCGUAUUGCUUCGUGCCAGAAAUAAUGAUCCGCUAAUUGUUUAUCCGCUA